AUUUCGACGAAGCUAUAUUUCUUGAUAACUGACAUUACUUUUUGUUUUAAAUAUUAUAUCCUCCCUCUUAUUGUCAUUGCUCUAUAUUUAUAUCAAUUUAUAGACAAAAAAAUAAUUAUUUUUAUUUGCAUUACAGCGAUGAAAUUGCAACAAAAAGAGUUACCAAAGGAAACAAUUCAGUUGCAUCUAAACAAAAUUCUAAAUAUGAUGAAAAAUGAAACUCAAAAGAUGGAAUUGUUGAAAAACAUCUCAUUAGCUAUGAAAUUACAGCGAGAUGAAUUACCAAAGAAGAGUAUUCACUUACAUCUGAAAAAAAUGAAAAAAAUAG